CUGAAAUGAGGUUUUCUGAAGAUUUACUCCUUCAGAAAUACAGGUGAGCAUGAAUCUUUGCCACCAAUAGUUACAUAAGCAUUCAGAGUGUUGAACUCUUUCUAUGGAAGUUUUAUUAUUAAUGUAUGCUUCUUUUCUAAUUUUUUUUCUUUCUAUGUCUAAAUACGUCAUAGUGUUAUGAUACCCGGUGUUACAAUUGCAAAGAGAUGGAGACACUCUUGUAUUGGAAGCCUCAAAGAAUGACACACAACCAGAUGCAGACAAAUUUACCACAUACCGGCAUUCAGAUUCAAAAAGCAGUAGCUUAACAGCAGAAAAGGGCAAAAUCUAGAAGAUUUCUGUACUCCUUUGGCAGUUGGAAUAAUCUGCACUGGUAAAUGCUCAACUUGAUUGGUAAUGCCAUUAAAAACUGUUCAUCACUUACAUGCAGAAGUUGCCUGAUAGUUGUACUUCACUGAGAGUUACUUCCAUCUUUACACAUAAAUCCAGUUUUUGGGUUAUUUUGGGGAGUUGGUCGGCUAUAGUAGAUACACUGCUACCUGUGUUUCAGACACUUCUGUAUCUGCACACAUGUAGGUACAUAUUUUUUUGUCUUGAAACGCUUCAAUUCUGUUGUGCAGCAUUCAUUCAUAUUAUGGUGCUGUGUUAAUCUGUU
rnacentral:lncRNA from 1 species